ACCACUGAGCCAUCUUCCCAGCCCCAAUUUUAAACUCUUUAUGUAAGAAUAUAACCACUCUUGGGCUGGGAAGGUGGCUCAGUGGU
rnacentral:pre_miRNA from 1 species